UACGUAGGCAGCAAGCGUUGUUCGGAGUUACUGGGCGUAAAGAGUGCGUAGGUGGUGCCCUAAGUCUGUUGUGAAAUCUCCCGGCUUAACUGGGAGGGUGCGGUGGAAACUGGGGUGCUUGAGUGUGGGAGAGGUAAGCGGAAUUCCUGGUGUAGCGGUGAAAUGCGUAGAUAUCAGGAGGAACACCGGUGGCGAAGGCGGUUCUCUGGGCCUUACCUGACGCUGAGGAGCGAAAGCGUGGGGAGCGAACAGG
rnacentral:rRNA from 1 species